GGUCCAAUAGUGUAGAGGUUAUCACCCGGGGUUCUGAUAAUCUGUAUCCACAACAAAGGUGGUGUUAUCAAUUCCCGUGACCCAGGUUCAAGUCCUGGUUGGACCU